CGUUCAUCGCUCGCACUGUUACGGCGGUGAGCGGCAGAGCUCAAUUUGAAUCUGGCCCCUCCGGGGUCCGAGAUUGUAAUUUGUAGAGGAUGCUUCGGGUGCGGCCCCUGCUCUAAGUGCCCUGGAACGGGCCAUCGGAGAGGGUGAGAAUCCCGUCUGGGAUGGGGUGUCCGUGCCCGUGUGAAGCUCCUUCGACGAGUCGA
rnacentral:rRNA from 1 species